GAACCAACAGGGAUUACCUCAGUAACGGCGAGUGAAGCGGUAACAGCUCAAAUUUGAAAGCUAGCUCUUCUAGGGUUCGCAUUGUAAUUUGUAGAAGAUGCUUCGGGUGUGGCCCCGGUCUAAGUUCCUUGGAACAGGACGUCAUAGAGGGUGAGAAUCCCGUAUGUGACUGGGUGCUUUCGCUCAUGUGAAGCUCUUUCGACGAGUCGAGUUGUUUGGGAAUGCAGCUCAAAAUGGGUGGUAAAUUUCAUCUAAAGCUAAAUAUUGGCCAGAGACCGAUAGCGCACAAGUAGAGUGAUCGAAAGAUGAAAAGCACUUUGGAAAGAGAGUUAAACAGUACGUGAAAUUGUUGAAAGGGAAGCGCUUGCAACCAGACUUGCGCGCUGAUGAUCAUCCGGGCUUCUGCCCGGUGCACUCGUCUGCGCUCAGGCCAGCAUCGGUUUCGGUGGUGGGAUAAAGGCCUUGGGAAUGUAGCUUCUUUCGGGGAGUGUUAUAGCCCUCGGUGCAAUGCCGCCUACCGGGACCGAGGACCGCGCUUCGGCUAGGAUGCUGGCGUAAUGGUUGUAAGCGAC
rnacentral:rRNA from 1 species